GUAGUACUCCCGCCGUACGGAAAUACUUGUCAUCAAAAUGAAUAAAAGGGGAUGUAUCUAAAUGUAUAUUAGUUCUAGAUACAUCUUUUUUAUCCAUUUUGAUGACAAGUAUUUUCGGACGGAGGGAGUACUUG
rfam:Triticum aestivum genome assembly, contig: Triticum_aestivum_CS42_TGACv1_scaffold_555993_7AL